UGCAACUUCGCAGCAGAAUCCUGGUUGGGUCAGCGAUCUAACUCUUGUUUGCGACAUGAGGGGUCUUGUGCCUCUUCUUUGGGAAGCCUGCCUUUUUUUUUUCCCUUCCCCAUUAGCAUAAUUUUAGGGAUCACUUAACAGCCUGCACCACUUAUAAUAUUUUUCUUUAUUAACAUAAUUUUGUAUCAACAUAUAUUAUUUUUCUCUGUUAGCAACAUAUAUUAUUUUCCUCUGUUGGCAUGAUCUUGUUAGAGUGAUUUUAGGGAUCAUAUAACAACUUAUAUUAUUUAGUAAUAUUUUCCAUUAUUAGUGCGAUCCCAGCCUAUAUUAUUUUUCUUGUAUGGAAUCUGUACAAGAGUAUAUAUAACCCAUGAGAUGUAUUGAAUAUGAUGGAAUAGAGAAAUAAAAUUAUUUUUCUCCUUUUUUCUCUUAUUUUUCUCUUCUUCUACAAAUAUUUUAAUAUGAUAUCAAAGCCAACGAUCACCUAAUAACCGCCACCAUCUCUUCCGUCUUUCUUGUGGUCGUCGUUGCUAUGUUUAGAAGCUUUGAAGACCCCCAUUACCGAUCUAUCGAUCUCUGUUUCCGGCUUCAGAUCUUCGGUCGUCUCUUCUCACUGUGGCUCGGUCCCUUUCUCUCUAUCUCCGAAUUCAUUUGCUGCCUCUGACUCCUUCACCAUCCAGAUCAAAGUCUCUUACUCCUCUUUCAUAGUGCCUUCGUCUACGAGAAUCAUUGACCUUCGGUUGUCUUCUCUUUAUGCUCUAUUAUUGCUGCAACUAUUAUCUUUUAUGUAUUUUCUUGUUGCCCAUCAUUAGACAAGUCAAUCAACUAAUGUUCCUCUUCCAUGGUGCCUUCAUCUAUGGGGAUAAUUGACCUUUUGUUGCCUUCUCUGAGCUCUAUCCCAUUGCAACUAUCAUCUUCUAUAUAUCUUAUUGCUACUACAUCAUCAGACAAGUCAAUAAGCCACAUC
rnacentral:lncRNA from 1 species